rnacentral:rRNA from 1 species
UACGUAGGGGGCAAGCGUUGUCCGGAAUCAUUGGGCGUAAAGCGCGUGUAGGCGGUUCGGUAAGUCCGCUCUGAAAGUCCAGGGCUCAACCCUGGAAAGCGGGUGGAUACUGUCGGACUCGAAUCCGGAAGAGGCGAGUGGAAUUCCUGGUGUAGCGGUGAAAUGCGCAGAUAUCAGGAGGAACACCUAUGGCGAAGGCAGCUCGCUGGGACGGUAUUGACGCUGAGACGCGAAAGCGUGGGGAGCAAACAGGAUUAGAAACCCCCGUAGUCC